rnacentral:rRNA from 1 species
UACAGAGGUCUCAAGCGUUGUUCGGAUUCAUUGGGCGUAAAGGGUGCGUAGGCGGCGCGGUAAGUCGGGUGUGAAAUCUCGGAGCUUAACUCCGAAACUGCAUUCGAUACUGCCGUGCUUGAGGACUGGAGAGGAGACUGGAAUUUACGGUGUAGCGGUGAAAUGCGUAGAUAUCAGGAGGAACACCGGUGGCGAAGGCGGGUCUCUGGGCCGAUACUGACGCUGAGGAGCGAAAGCCAGGGGAGCAAACGGG